CGCCCUUGUGCAAAGCAGCCGCGGUAAUCCCAGCUCCAAUAGCGUAUAUUAAAGUUGUUGCCGUUAAAAAGCUCGUAGUCGAACUUCGGCGCCUGAUGGCCGGUCCGCCUUCUUGGUGUGUACUUGCUCAUCGGGCGCUUACCUCCUGGUGAACUCUGAUGUCCUUUACUGGGUGUCAGAGCAAACCAGGACGUUUACUUUGAAAAAAUUAGAGUGUUCAAAGCAGGCCUACGCCCGAAUACAUUAGCAUGGAAUAAUAGAAUAGGACGCGCGUUCCCAUUUUGUUGGUUUCUGAGAUCGCCGUAAUGAUUAAUAGGGAUAGUUGGGGGCAUUUGUAUUCCGUCGUCAGAGGUGAAAUUCUUGGAUUGCCGGAAGACAAACUACUGCGAAAGCAUUUGCCAAGGAUGUUUUCAUUGAUCAAGAACGAAGGAAGGGGGAUCGAAAACGAUCAGAUACCGUUGUAGUCUCUUCUGUAAACUAUGCCAAUUGGGGAUUAGCACAGGAUUUUCAAUGACUGUGUUAGCACCCGAAGAGAAAUCUUUAAAUGAGGUUCGGGGGGGAGUAUGGUCGCAAGGCUGAAACUUAAAGGAAUUGACGGAAGGGCACCGCCAGGUGUGGAGCCUGCGGCUUAAUUUGACUCAACACGGGGAAACUCACCAGGUCCAGACACAAUAAGGAUUGACAGAUUGAUAGCUCUUUCUUGAUCUUGUGGUUGGUGGUGCAUGGCCGUUCUUAGUUGGUGGAGUGAUUUGUCUGGUUAAUUCCGAUAACGAACGAGACCUUAACCUGCUAAAUAGACCAGUCGACUUUGGUUGACUGCUGUCUUCUUAGAGGGACUAUCAGCGUUUAGCUGAUGGAAAUUUGAAGCAAUAACAGGUCUGUGAUGCCCC
rnacentral:rRNA from 1 species